CAUGCAGUCGAACGGAAGGCCCUGCUUUUGUGGGGUGCUCGGGUGGCGAACGGGUGAGUAACACGUGAGUAACCUGCCCUUGACUUUGGGAUAACUUCAGGAAACUGGGGCUAAUACCGGAUAGGAGCUCCUGCUGCAUGGUGGGGGUUGGAAAGUUUCGGCGGUUGGGGAUGGACUCGCGGCUUAUCAGCUUGUUGGUGGGGUAGUGGCUUACCAAGGCUUUGACGGGUAGCCGGCCUGAGAGGGUGACCGGCCACAUUGGGACUGAGAUACGGCCCAGACUCCUACGGGAGGCAGCAGUGGGGAAUAUUGCACAAUGGGCGGAAGCCUGAUGCAGCAACGCCGCGUGCGGGAUGACGGCCUUCGGGUUGUAAACCGCUUUCGCCUGUGACGAAGCGUGAGUGACGGUAAUGGGUAAAGAAGCACCGGCUAACUACGUGCCAGCAGCCGCGGUGAUACGUAGGGUGCGAGCGUUGUCCGGAUUUAUUGGGCGUAAAGGGCUCGUAGGUGGUUGAUCGCGUCGGAAGUGUAAUCUUGGGGCUUAACCCUGAGCGUGCUUUCGAUACGGGUUGACUUGAGGAAGGUAGGGGAGAAUGGAAUUCCUGGUGGAGCGGUGGAAUGCGCAGAUAUCAGGAGGAACACCAGUGGCGAAGGCGGUUCUCUGGGCCUUUCCUGACGCUGAGGAGCGAAAGCGUGGGGGCGAACAGGCUUAGAUACCCUGGUAGUCCACGCUGUAAACGGUGGGUACUAGGUGUGGGGUCCAUUCCACGGGUUCCGUGCCGUAGCUAACGCUUUAAGUACCCCGCCUGGGGAGUACGGCCGCAAGGCUAAAACUCAAAGGAAUUGACGGGGCCCCGCACAAGCGGCGGAGCAUGCGGAUUAAUUCGAUGCAACGCGUAGAACCUUACCUGGGUUUGACAUGGAUCGGG
rnacentral:rRNA from 1 species